UCCGAGCGUGUGCGGGGCUGGAGCGCGGUGGGACGCGUGGCGGCGGCGGCGGCGGCGGCGGCCCCGUCCCCGCGGAUUGUUGGCUGGCGGUGCGGAUGGACGGACGGGCCACAACGCAUGUCGCCCUUCGCCUGCUGAACUCAGAGCGCUCGAGGAUGUCGGCGCUGAGGAAGGUCUGUAUGAGCUGUUGGCUGUUGUGCCAGGCCGGCUGGGGCCACGUGUGGACAGCCAGGAAGACCUGACCUUCCUCUGGGAUAUGUUUGGUGAGAAAAGCCUGCAUUCACCGGUAAAGGUAAAACCAUGCUGAUGUCAGAUUCUCUUGGUGGGAAAACAUAUGGAAAAAUAUUUUGUCAUCUCAUGCUUUGUUCUGUCCUCCCCUAUUCUCUAUGCAGAAGUUACUCGUCGAGCACCAUUUUCCUUUAGGUUAGUGAUUUCUGAAUUGUAUUCAUGAAACAUUUCCUUAAUGUGUGACCAAAAAGCUAUUCCCUUUUUCAUUUUCACUUUGAUUUCGCUACUCUAGAUUUUUGUUUAUUAUGUGUGAAUCUGGAUCUCAAAAGAAAUUCUCUCAACAUUUCUUCUUUGUCAUAUUUGCUCUAGAUUAUUUUUUUUCAUAUUUGCCGUUUACUCAAUUUAAGAAGUUUCCGUUUAUUCUUUGUAAAAUGACUUUUUAAAUGACUAGCCAUUGGACUUUGUCAAGUGCUUUUUAUUUAUUUAUUGUAUGAUCAUAUGAUUUGUUUCCUGUCAGUCUCAACAUAGGAAAGUUCAUUGGUUUUUGACUUUUUUUUUUUUUUUACUGAUUUUUGACUGUUCAACUGGCUAUCAUUGGACUAUUAUUUGAGAUAACCUAAUUUGUUCAUGAUUUGUUCUCCUUUACAUAUAAUCUGCUGGAGUUAGUUGACUCCUAGUUUAUUUAGAACUUUAAUGUCUCCUUUUAUGAGACAGCCCAUAAUUUUGCUUUCUUAUCUCUCUCAUCAGAUCUUCACAAUAUCCUGGGUAGCCUUAGGUUGUGAGGUGGAAGUCUCUACUCUUCUGUGGGUAAGUUUAUGAAAGACUGAAGUUCGUUUGUCCUUUAGCAGAACUGACUUGUUGGGUUCCUUGGGCCUGGAUG
rnacentral:lncRNA from 1 species